rnacentral:misc_RNA from 1 species
GUCAGGUGUCACUUGCAUUGGGUUUGCAACAUCGUGAAAGUGAUGCUUUUUCCAUGUCCGGUGAGAACCAUAUGAGGGUUAACAAUGUAGCACCUUCCUCUAUGGGACCUGACUCGAUGGAUUAUCAUUGCAUGGAUCUGGGAAAGCAACAGGACAGGUUUGGCAAUUCCCAUAUAUUACAUGAUUUUGUAGUUUGAAAGAAUCC